UUCACAGGGAUUGUGUGUAUCGGUGUUGUGCUACAAUCAUUGCAUUAUUCUGAAAGAGUUCCCUGCAAAACAAAUUUGGCCAGUUGUGUUUCAGUUUGCUGUUGAAAAUAACAAUAACAUUUUU
rfam:Vigna angularis cultivar Jingnong 6 scaffold624_10, whole genome shotgun sequence.